GUUCCUUCAGUAAUGACCAUUUUUUCUUUUUCAAGAUGAUGAUUAUUCCCCACCUUCUAAGAGACAAAGACCAACGAGCCACCACAGCCACCGGUCCCAGAACCCGCCAAUGCUGGGGAACGGAAAAUGAGGGAGUUCAACUCUGGCCCUCACAAUCCAGUGGAGGAGACGAAACUCAGCUGCCUCUGUCCCUCUGGGCACGCCUCAUGCCAGGUGCAUCUGUGGACAGGGGCCAUGCUCCUGGGCUUCCAAAGUUGGAGAAAGCUGCCAGGCUCAGGUCUGAAGGCCAGAAUUCUACAGUAAGUCCUACUCAGUCAAGGUGGGAGCAGGGUCAGUGGCUUCCGAGGCUCUGCGGGAGAAUCCGUUUCCUGGCCGUGGAGGUGGCCUGCACUCCUCAGCUUGUGCUGCCCGUCUCGAAUGACUGGAGUUUCCUGCUUCUGUCACUACACCUCCCACCCUCUCCAUCACCUGCUCUGCUCUUAUAAGGAUCCGAAGAAAUGGAAUAAUCGUAUCGCUGAUCUACGUAAACAAAUUGAAGAAUUGUCUGAAAGAAAAUAUGUUAUGUCUAAACUGGAAAAGUCCUGUAAUCUUAUGUUCAUGGGCUUUUACACAAUGGAGUUACUGUUCAUCAUGGGGGUACCGUGGACAAGCCCAGAGCUGCCGGCGAGUCAUGCCAUCCUUACACGUUUCUCCUUGGAAGACGUGAACUUAUGAAUUCAACAGGUGAAGAUUUACAACUUGAUAAAUCAGCUUCAUGAGAGCCACCUGAGCUGAAGAUUCCCUUGAGAACAAGUACUGUCCUGUGGUUUCAUGGCCUUUCUUCCAUUUGUGGUUCUUGCGAAGUGGAAUUUAAAUGACAUCUUAUCAAGAUGGAUAAACCCUAGUUUCCCAGUGCUGGAAUAUAGAAAAUGGAUGGACAAGUAAAUCCCACUCAGCACCCAUAGUCCAGGCAUGGGGACCUCAACACACCUGAGCCCCAGACAUCACCUU
rnacentral:lncRNA from 1 species